rnacentral:tRNA from 1 species
GCCUAGGUAUGCCAACUGGUAGAGCAACGCGGUUUAAACCCGAGUGAAUGCUGGUUCGAAUCCAGCUCUAGGUA